UACGUAGGGGGCAAGCGUUGUUCGGAAUUACUGGGCGUAAAGGGCACGUAGGCGGCACAGCAAGUCGGGAGUGAAAGCCCGGGGCUCAACCCCGGAAUGGCUUUCGAAACUGCUGAGCUAGAGUACAGAAGGGGCAACCGGAAUUCCCAGUGUAGCGGUGAAAUGCGUAGAUAUUGGGAAGAACACCUGAGGCGAAGGCGGGUUGCUGGGCUGAUACUGACGCUGAGGCGCGAAAGCCAGGGGAGCAAACGGG
rnacentral:rRNA from 1 species